CCCGAGCCGCCUCAGACGGAGCCAGCCAGCCAGCGCGGCCCCCCUUCCCUUUUCCCCGGUCCCGGCCUCACCAUGAGCAGCGGCAGCGCCGGCUCUUCCCGGCCCCGAACGAGUUCCUUCGCAGACCCGUCCGGCGGGUCUAGCUCCACGGUUAACACCGCGUCCGGCCCGACCUCCGGGGCACCGCCAGGGGGGAAACCCGGGGGAGCUGCCGGGCCUGGGCCGGGGGGAGGCGGGACCAGCACGUCGGUGGGCGCCUUCCCGGGGCUAAAGCUCGGCCGAGACAGCAGCAAGGUAACCACUGUGGUUGCCACACCUGGCCAGGGCCCCGACCGUCCCCAGGAAGUCUCAUACUCUGAUAUCAAGGUCAUUGGCAAUGGGUCAUUUGGGGUCGUCUACCAGGCCCGACUAGCAGACUCCGGUGAGCUGGUGGCCAUCAAGAAGGUGUUGCAAGACAAGCGCUUCAAGAACCGUGAGCUGCAGAUCAUGAGGAAGCUGGAUCACUGUAACAUUGUUCGCUUGCGAUAUUUCUUCUACUCAAGUGGGGAAAAGAAGGAUGAGGUUUAUCUUAAUUUAGUCCUGGACUUCGUGCCUGAGACGGUCUAUCGUGUGGCCCGCCACUUCACCAAAGCCAAGCAGACGAUCCCUGUCAUCUAUGUGAAGGUAUACAUGUACCAGCUGUUCCGCAGUCUGGCGUACAUCCAUUCUCAAGGCGUGUGCCAUCGGGACAUCAAACCACAGAACUUGCUAGUGGACCCUGAUACGGCGGUACUGAAGCUUUGUGACUUUGGCAGUGCAAAGCAGCUGGUACGAGGAGAACCCAACGUUUCGUACAUCUGUUCUCGCUACUACCGCGCUCCAGAGCUCAUCUUUGGGGCCACUGACUACACCUCAAACAUAGAUAUCUGGUCUGCAGGCUGUGUGCUGGCAGAGCUGCUGCUGGGGCAGCCCAUCUUUCCUGGGGACAGUGGAGUGGACCAGCUGGUGGAGAUCAUCAAGGUGCUGGGGACACCAACGCGAGAACAGAUCCGAGAGAUGAACCCAAACUACACGGAGUUCAAGUUCCCCCAGAUCAAAGCACACCCCUGGAUAAAGGUGUUCAAGCCCCGCACCCCGCUUGAGGCCAUUUCGCUGUGCAGCCGGCUGCUGGAGUACACGCCGGCCACCCGCCUCUCCCCGCUCGAGGCGUGCGCCAACAGCUUCUUUGAUGAGCUGCGGGAGCCCAACGCUCGGCUGCCCAAUGGCCGGGACUUGCCCCCGCUCUUCAACUUCAGCCCCGUGGGUAAGUGGCCGAGAGGUGGCGUGGGGGCGGACACGGGAGUGGGGCGCAAGCAGGGGCGUAUUUCACACGUCAAGCGAGGUUUGGGGAAGUGCAACAUGUGCCAGGGAAGCCUUGGGUGGCGCUCCUUCCUGGACAUGCCCCCGUUGAGCUGGGAGUCCCGCGAACGCUGCGAAUGGCUCAGCCACUGCCGCCUCCUACUCCCCUGCAACGCUUUCGCCCCUUUUGCUUCUCAGGCUCCCUUAGCAUUUGUGGUCUUCUGUUUGGGUCACUAGUGUAAAGUCAAGGUGGGGAAUACGUGACCCUGCAGUUGUCAUCGGACUGCCGCUUCCUUCAUUCCUCCACAUUGGCUAUGCUGGCUGGGGCUGAUGGGAAUUGUGGUUGCACCGCCUCCGGAGGACCCACAUGUUCUUCAUCCCUGCUGUGAAGCUGUCGCCCAGAGCAUGGGCCGCCUUGGAUUCCAUGCAUUCUCUUCGGGGAAGGGCCAGGGCAGUGCAGUGCAGUCCUUGCAGGGGUUGGACUGGGCCCAGAAGUGCCAAGUUCUAGUUCUGGUCCCCACUUAGCCAUGGCCGUGGGGCCGUGGGCCAGUCAUUGACACUUCAUCUAACCUGCCUCACAGGGUUGUUGUGGGAAGACUGUGCAAGCCGCCUUGGGGUUCCUUGCAAGAGGAAAAGGCGGGGUAUAAAUGUAAUAGAUAAAUGUGGGUUGUUCUGUGCUGUUUGCCCCGACUUCCCUUAUAUACAUACAUAUGCACGAGUGGACUCCAGUAAGUAGACACAGGAUGAACAUCAGUUAAACAGCCGAGGGAGGAACGAAACGCUGCAUCCGAAGUUCUGAAAGGCUGCCUGACCCCGGUGUGGUCAGCUCUUGCCACACCCUGCCGUGCCUCCGUCGUGCUGACCCAGUAGGACGAACCAGUUGCGGCUGAGCCUUCCAUAUCCACGCCUCUCCUUGUGCCGAGACAAAGAGCUGGCAGGCGUUCUGGACUGGGGUGGAGGAAGCUACAAUGAAAAAGAAACAUGGAUGCCAAGUAGCGGGAAGAGCGAUACCAGCUGCAGCGCUGCUCCCCCCCCUCCCACCAAGCUUUCAUGUUUGUUUGUUCCAGCUUCUGUUCCCCAUCCUUGCAUGGCUGUUUCUGCAGUGUUUUUGCAUUAACUUAGAUAGCUUAUUAAAUACACCUAAUUUAUGUUGGUAACUUUGCAGGAACUAAGGGAUCCCCGUUACAGAUCAGUAAAGUCUUUUUCCUGUGAAGAAGAUUUAAGCAUUCUGGGGGCCCUUGUGUUUCCCUGCUUAUUUUACCACCUGUGUCUUAAGUUUGAAAUAGAACCUCAAAAUGGAGGCUUCUACUUCUCCAUCUCGAAGGGGCCAAGGAGCUGUCAGGAGAGACUGACGAAAGGUCUGCGUCCCAUCCCAUCCCAUCCCUCCAGCCAACUUGCUUCCUCUGUAUUAGAUGCAGGAACAACGAUGGUCCGUUACCAAGGCGCCUGUGUGACUAGUCCUGUCUCCCUUCCCUUGCAGAGCUAUCCAUUCAGCCGGGGCUGAAUUCCAACCUCAUUCCACCACACGUUCGGUCCCAGGCUGGCUCAGUGGGAUCCGUGUCUGGCUCCACAUCUGCACACAGUGAGGGAAGAAUGGGAACUGACAGGAGCCAGGUGACGCCGGGAGAUG